AAGAUUUGUUGUUUAUAGGAGCGAUGAAUCUCCUUAUAAAAACUUUUUACUAUACGUAGAAGAAAUUAAGAACACUAAUGUUUUUUAUCCAAUUAAAUAUGUUUAUGUUAGCAUAAAAAAACUACCAAAUGAUUUUUAAAAUAAAUAUAUGAUAAUUUUUUAAAAUUGUGUUUAUGUAUUUAUAUGUUUAUGUAUGAAGAAAUGUAUUUAUAUAUGGAUAUAAUAAAUAUGUUGUCCAACUAUAUCGUAAUUUUUACUUUUUUAAGGACAUACCAUUAAAAUAUUAUGAAAAUUUAAUAGUUUAUAAAAAAAAAGAUAUAAAGAAUCAAAAUUUACAUACGUUUUGUGAAGAAAAAAAAUCAUUUUACGAAAAUAAAGACAAACAAAUAAAAUGCUUCUGUAGUUAUUGUCCUUCUUAUCCUAUUUUCCCAUUAUAUUCGCAUUUAAAAUAUAUAAAAGGAAAGCUUUUUUGCAACGAUAAAGAAAAAGACGAAUUAAUACUGUAUUGCUUAGAAAAAACAGAUAAAACAUAUCAUGGGUUUCUUAUUGAAAAGAGCGAGAAUUUUUAUAAGCUAAACGUUACUUUACAACAGUUCGAUUUCAAUGAUGAGAGUCUUAUAGCUAGCAAUAACCAAUCAACAUUAGAACGAAGAUCAUACAUUUUAGACGAAUAUAAUUCAGAAAUUAAUGAUGAAGUGUUUAGAGUAAAGAUUAAAUUUAAUUUUGAAAAGACGAACAAGGGAGGUUCCAUCGAAGGAAAUUAUCUAUUUGUUGAUUCAGACACGUUUAAAGAAAAGGUAGAAUCUGAGGACUUGAUAAUAGAUGAAGACAUUUUAAAAGACUCUUUCAUAGUCGAUCCUACACAUGUUGAUAAAAUAAAACUACAAAAUGCAGAAACAACAACACUGACAGAACAAACCGAGUGUGAUAAAAUAAGAAGCUAUCCAUCGACAUAUGGAACCCCUAAUGGAUCAUGUAAUUAUAUGACAAAAAAAAAAUGUUUUAAUCAUAAAUACACACUUUCACCUUUUAUAAGAUUUGAAAAUAUAAUUAAUAACAGAGAGAAGAUUUUUGCUAAUUAUUUUUUUUUUUUUCUUAAAAAAAAAAAUAAUAUGGAUUUUGAAGAUAGUAUAUAUAAUUUUACUAAUAAAAACAAAAACAUUUUUUCAAAAUAUGAAAAAAUAAAAGAUGAAGAAGAGUUAGAUUAUUUAUUAAAAAAAAAAAAAGAAAAAAAAAAUGACAAUAUUGAACAUAAAUAUAUAAAUAAUAAUACAAGCUUAAUUACAGAUAUAGAAGAUAAAUAUUACAUAGCUUUAGGUAAAAAAAAAAAUAAUUUUCUUACUAUAACAUCAUAUAAUAAUGAACCAUUAAAAAUUAAAUAUAAUAAAGAAAAAACAGGAAUUUCUAUAUCGUUUAUUCAUAAAUUAAGUGAUUGUUCUGACUUUUAUAAUCAGUCAAGUAAAACAUGUACUAUUUAUUUAAGUAUUUGGAAUGAAGAUGAUAUAGAAAAGGAGUUAAAUAUUUUUCUAAAAUGUUCUAAACAAAUAGUUAAUAAUAUUGAAACAAUUAAAAAAAAUAUAAUUUUAUGUAAAAAUUGU
ensembl:lncRNA